CGUGGGGAGGGGUACGGCCACGGCCACGGCUACUUAAUGCUGCCCGGCUCUUGUGGCUGUUCCUUGGGCUCUGGCUCUGCUCCUCUCCUCGGUUAAACCUCUGAGGGGAGGCUCGGGCACCCAGGACUCUAGCGGCGGUGCCGGCUGGCUCCCACCGAGCCUGUCUAAACUGCCGCCUCCGGCGUCGCCUCAGCCGCUCUGUCCCGUUCCUCACCCCCGCCCAGCCUGGCCAGGCAGAAAAAUACGUGUAUAUAUCUUUGAUUUUUCUUCCUUGCAUACCUGCUACUGUAGCCACUCCGCCUUACACCUUCGCCUAGCCGGCUUCCUGUGGGCGGGCAGAAGUGCCCCGGCCAAAACAAGUUCAAAUAACUUUGUUCCCUGACCUCCGCUUUUCCUUAGCUCUUCUGCUUUUCUGUGUUCACUCUUGUGCCCCCUCUCCCCAGCCGGGGAUGGGCCAUGGGUGAAGGUUGCUGCUGUAUCUCCAAGUGUGUGCCGGGAGUUUUCAGUUCCUCCUCCCUCUGAGCUCAGCAUUUGCUCACCACAGGAAGCUGCUUUGCCAAGGACCAGCUUCCACUGACCUAUCAUGGCAUCCAACAAAUUUGUCAUUAAGUGUGGGAACUUUGCUGUCUUGGUGGAUGUUCAUAUUUUGCCUCAAGGCUCCAGUAAAGACACCAGCUGGUUUUCAGAUCAUGAGAAAGAGGAGGUCUGCAGGCUGCUGGAAGAAGUUGUUGCGUCAAGGGUCCAACACUACUUGGAGGCACGUAAACAGCGUGGCCAGUGCAAGCCCACGGAACAGGGAUCAUCUGGGCCUUUGUUUCUGACUGCCAACAGUUUGCACAUUACUGCCUACUUUAUGAAGAGAUGGGUUAAUCUCCGUUGUGCUCUAGGGAAACGUUAUCGAGAGCUCCGUGUGUUUCCAGAGAAAUUUAUCGUUUGUGUCAGUAAACUUGACUUUGAUCCAAGUGCUUGGACAUGUGACAAUGGUGGAUUGAAAGAAGAACUUUCCAAUGGGACGUCUAAAUAUUUUACUGAAUCUGCUGAGAACAAGAAGCUUAAGAUUAGUCUGAGUGAACAAAUAAAGCAAGACAUCCUGAGAAAAAUUGUGAAGAGGACAAAACCAAGGAGAAGUAGUGCAAGCAAACCUCAAAUCAGCAAGGACUCCAAGAAAGUGUAUCUUGGCUGGGCAGACUCGCAGACAGAGAACAGAAACAGUGACUGUGAGGCUUCUCUGAGUGCUCGCUGUGCUGUGAAGCGCAGGAGCCCUGGCCUGCUGAAGGACUGCACAAACACAGCUGAGGGCAGCCUGGGCCUCCCUGAGCCAGAGCAGAGAAAGGAUGUUCAUCAGGGACAGCCAGAGGGGGUUCACAGCCAGCACAAACCUCGCUCUCUGCAGCGGCCAGAGGCGAGGCUGCUCGGUGAGAGCCCUCCGUGCAGCUCUGAGUCAGCGCCGCCGGCUCCUGAACAAAGCCAGAGAGUGACCAGAGCACAGGCUCAGCUCGAGACCUGUGGCUCACAGCGAAAGCUGGAGCACCUCACAAAAGUGUCCUCUGAAGGGACUCCUUUAACUGACAUCAAUACGGAAAUGAGUGAGUGUGACGAUAAUUGUUUGGGUCCAUUCCUGGAGGAGACAACACCUCUUCAUUCCAAGUUGUUUUCAAAGCAAGAUGUGACAGAGACUGUGGUUGACAAGGAGUCAUUGACUUUGAGAAAAAACCCCUCCUGGUCUCUUUCUGUGAGCAGCAGUGGAGUGCAGAGCCAAAAGGAGCCAAGCACAGCCCCUGAAGAACUGCCUGCAGUGCCAACACCAUGUCUAGAGCUGCGCCCCGUGUCUUCAGAGAAGCUUUCCCAAAAAAGAAAAAAAGAUGUGGAAAAUGGUCUCGGGAAGUUAAAACUGCGAAGGCUUAAGAAGUCAAAAUCUGAAAUACUGCCUUGAUAGCAUGGGUGGUCAGCCAAGGUUGUGCCUAAGCAAAGUGCAGGAAGCAGUUCAAAAUGAUGGAAAACAAUAGAAAUACAAAAUCAAAAUUAGAGAACACAAUAAGAAAAUUUAGUUAACUAAGGAUCUUAGUCAUUUGGCACUGUAAUACAGCUCUUUGGGUGAUGUUUCUCAGUGCUUUGCAGUCAGGUUGCAAAUCCUUACCCAGCUCCAGGCUCUGCUAAAAGCUCUUUCCCAGUACCAGCAAAACCAAGGCUGCAAAGAACCUGGUUUGGAGGAAGAAGAGCCUGAGUAACCUGGGUGCAGGAGAAGAUGAGGGCUGAGGGAACGGCCGCGCACGGAGCCUUUCAUCACAGGAUAUCAAAGCGCUCCACUGAACCUGGAGGGAGCUGGCGGUGCUGCUUCUGACGGCUGGGGCAGCACUGAGGGAAGAGCUGCUCCCAGGGGAAAGCAAACUGGGUGAUCUGGACCACUUUCCCUGGCUUUACACCUAAUUCAAAGCAGCUUUUAACUACUCUGGAUUUAGUUCUGGCUGUAUCUCUGAACAGAUGGGAUAGCAAGAUGAGCAGUAAUUCAAAUUGCAGUCACAGGCUGUUCAUCUGUGGUCUGCAGUGCCUCUCUGUAACAGAGACCAAAAUACAGUUCCCAGAGUGAGAUGCGACGAGGUGCACGGGGGGAAGGUAGAACUCAAGACUUCUGAAGAGGAGGGGAAACAAGAAAGGAGGGAAAAAAAGAAAAAAGAGAACAAGAGUUGGAGCAGACUGCUUUCUCACGACUGGACACAGCAUGAGGCUCUGAAUGAAAACCCAGUUUGUGAUGGGCACCGGCUCGCUGUAUAGCCUAAAUAUGUUUCAUAUUCAAACCAGGAUUCCAUUCCGUUCCUAAUAACUGUGGGAAAAUGCUUCCAAAAGUAAGCAAAGCUGGGCAAGCCAAGACAUGCACCCAAACUUCUAUGCAGAGGCUCCAUUGGCCUGAACCAUUUUUGGUUAAUAUUUCAUGAAAAGUUAUAUGUUACUUGUUUCUAUUCUAGACCAAGUCUGACAACCUGAGAGAAACUCUGAAAAUCAAAUAAAUCAAAAUGAAAUGCAACUCGAUCAUCUAACACCACUUAAAACAGAUUUAAGAAGUCCUUGCACAAGUCAGUGGUGAAAAAAAAAAGAAAGAACCAAAACAAACAAACAAAACCAGAAUAGAACUCCCGAGCCAUAUUACAGAUGCAGAUUGCACUAUCUUGGGUGCUUCCUCAGUGGUUUAAUUACCAACAUUAAGCAGCACAAGCUCAACAUGUUACUGCAAGCUUGACAAAAAAUAUUAUGAUAUAGAGAAUGAAUUAUGACAACUAGCACUACUUCCAAUAAAGUUAAGGAUGUUUUCCUUUCGGCCUUGCAUAAUUGUUUUGGAAGAUAUUUUGUCUAAACUCAUAGCAACAGUUCCCUGCUGGUUCUCAGGACUGUUUACCAACACACCUAGCCCUUAAGGAAAGGAAAGGCUGAAUCCUAGCUGUGAGUGCUACUGUUGCUAGAUACUUGUGUGACCACUUUCCACUACCACACAGGAGUUUGGUUAAAACAGAGGAGAUGCUUCAGCUGACCUGGAUGGAAACACAAUGCAGGGGGAACA